rnacentral:rRNA from 1 species
UACGUAGGGUGCAAGCGUUGUCCGGAAUUAUUGGGCGUAAAGAGCUCGUAGGCGGCUUGUCACGUCGGGUGUGAAAGCCCGGGGCUUAACCCCGGGUCUGCAUUCGAUACGGGCUAGCUAGAGUGUGGUAGGGGAGAUCGGAAUUCCUGGUGUAGCGGUGAAAUGCGCAGAUAUCAGGAGGAACACCGGUGGCGAAGGCGGGUCUCUGGGCCGUAACUGACGCUGAGGAGCGAAAGCAUGGGGAGCGAACAGG